rnacentral:lncRNA from 1 species
UCAGCCAUUUAUAAGUCAUCAAUCAGUGUGAAUAUAUGAGAUAUGAAGGAAGCAUGCACCUUUAAGAUAACAAAAACACAUAUAUCUUAAUAAAUACAAUAGUUCAUUCUCAUCAGAGUUUCAGAAACUAGCAUUAUCGAGAUUAUGCUCUCAAUCUCUAUGCUUAGUCGCAGAUAUACAACAAUGUCAAAAGGUAGCCGUUCCCAACUAAGUCCAAACGGAUGACAAAAAGUGAAGAUUGUCCCACUGAUAAGAAACUUGGUCUUCCCUCUUAUCUUCAAAAAUGCAAUCUGGCACUGCCACAGAACCUUAGCUUUCUAUCCUUGCCCAAAAGCAAAACACAUUUUCCAUUAGUAAAGAGCUACUAGAACUUGGAGCACCCCAAAAUCAAUAACAUAAUUGAGAAUCAAUGCAUGUAUCUGCAAGCAUUUAUUUAGUAGACAACUGAUUCCCAAACCAAUUUUAAAUUUCUGACAGACUUACUUCGUUGCCUAAAUUACCAAGCUUUUCAGUUAAUCUGCCCAAAAUACAAUCCACGGGUGCAUUUAAAUAAAUUGGGUUAUUUAACACCUAUAAUCUUUGAAAUCUCAUAGAAUUGCUAUCAAAAGUAAUCUACACCAAACGACCAACACAUGAAAUACAGGACCUUUAGACAGAAAAUAAUGCUGUAGAAAAAAAUAAAAACCCAUAAAAGCACAAAAUACUUCUCCUAAUAUUAAUAAUGGAACAAAGCAAUAUCAUAAAACGCUGAAAUAUACCAUUAGAGGAAUAAAUCCGUACCGAUGACGAGCUAAAUAUGAAAAUUUUCUAGAAUUAAUAAUUCUUCAAACAAAAAAACACAGUAAUUAUCUGCAUUUUAAAUAAUCCUAAAAAAGGGCAAUGACUUAUUGAUUUCAUUAGAAAAAAAAAACCUACAAACACUUUUUUUUUUAAUCUAUUUUAUUUCCGAGCAAGAACAACAUUCUUCUAUUCUUUCUUCAACAAGAAAACAGGUUAUGUUACCGUUGGCAGUAGGUGAAACACUUGACAACCAAAUACAUAAAAAGAAAUAAAAAAGAGUUAGAAAAAUUCACAAAAAUUAAAAUUGAAAAUACAAAAAGAUUAAAAAAGAAAUUGCUUUUGAAAAAUGAAAAUAUCAAACCCCUUCUUCAGAACAAUUCAAACAGGGGGCUGCAGGUUCUUAAUCUAACAGUAAUUAAAAUUCCACUGAAACCCCAACCCUCUAUUUGAUUUUUUUUUUUUUUUUUUUUUACUCACAAGAAUUAAUUCCAACAUAGAACUCGAGCUCUGGAAGAGAUAAAAGGAAAAGACACAGAUGACUGAGUCCGACUGAGACAGAGUCGCCAGUAUACCGCAAAGGUCAGCACCCAGUUGAAUUUGCGAGUUUGGGUUCGAGUCCCAGUCACACAGGAAAGUAGGUAAUUAUCCUAACCAGCUGAAGUAUCAAAACCUGUUUCUAUAAGCCUGCACAUUACAAGUUAAUUGUCAGCAAAGGAGGGGCCGGCAACGAUAAACAACACAUCAUCUCCUAAUUAUAAAACAUGUAAAAUUAAUGUAUUUUACCAGUCCCAAAAUCCCUUUUCUUUAGAGAUAAUCUCCCCAUAGCAACUAUAAAUAUUGUGGGGGUGGAAAAAAUGACCACAAAGAAGAACAGUCCCUUCUUUUUCUCCAAACAAAUACAACCAUUUCAGCUCACAUCUAAGCUGAGAACCAUUCUAGUUCCAAGUUUCAACCAAUGAAACAACCAUAGUAUUCUCAUAAAAAUAAAAAAUGAAAUAACCAUAGAAUAAAAUAAUUAUACUCUAAUUCAAACAUUGCUUCAGAAUUUACGAUUUAUGGUAGACUCAAUUGGUCAAACCUACGGAAUUGGAAUUAAGGUUCUUACAAUACUGAAAUGAUCAAAUUUCAUUCACUCUAAACAUGAGAUGCAACUUGUACUAUUUCAAGUUAUUCAGUAAGCAUUAAGGGUGUGUUUGGUACCCCACAUUAUAUGGUAUAAAAACACCGUUUUGUAUUAAAUUUAUGCAGACCCACACGUUUGGCGCUAAAAGUAGCUACAACAACAUUACAUUAAUGAGCCGUGCUAAUGCGGCAACUGCCGCAUUAGCUAAACCCGACUGUGCUUGCCUCUUUUUUUUUUUUUUUUUUAAAAAAAAAUCUUUAUGAUUAUAAUAAUUAAAAAAUAAAUAAACUUUUGAAUUUAAUAUAGUAUUAUGUAAUAUUAAUAUUAAUCUUUUAUUUUUAUGUUAUAAUUAUUGAUAUAAAUUAAUAAAAUUACAAUUUAUUAGUAAAUUUAUAAUUUAAUAUAAUUAAUAAUAAUAUUAGUUUAAAUAAUAAUAUAAAUAUUAUUACAUAUACAAAUAUACUACAGAACUCUUACUUGAAUUAUUUAGCACAAUUCAUUUUGUUAGUGAAUAUGUUAUAAUUAAAAAUUAAUACAAUACAGUGUAGCACCAAACAUUGUACAAUAUUAUUAUAAUACAAUGCUAAUGCAAUACAGUAUAAUACAAUACAUCAGCAUUAAAAUAAUGCAAUACGAUAUAAUACAAUACAAUAUACCAAACACACUCUAAAAGAAAUUUGUUCAUCCUACGUGGUAUAAGUAGUAUACUUCAGCUAGUAUUAUGCAUCAUCAGUUAAAUCAUUUGGAUUAUUAACAUUGAUAUUUUUUUAUUAGCUGAAUUGAUGACUGUCGCACCCCUGACUUAGAGGCACGUGUGAUAAGAAAAGUUUAUCUACAUCAGAUGCAAGUAUAAGCUUUUAACAAUUAAGCUGUGACAGUUUGCUUGCAAGAACAAACGUAUACUAAUUAGAGAUGAAUAAGACCCAGCACUUCAAGAAAAAUUUGACAUUAUCUGCCCUAAAAUAUGGAUACUAUCCAAUAUAUCAAACCAGCAAUUUUUAUACCCAGCUGCUUAAAACUUCAAAAAAAUAAAAAAAUAAAAUAAAAUAAAACAUAACCUCCUCAAGUCAACUCUAUUACUCUACUACCACCAUCGGUCAAUAUGACAUUUGGGGCCUCCAGGACCCUAUUACUACAACACUAACGGAUAUGAGUGCAUCCUACUAAUAUUGCUUAGUCAUUCUUAAUACAUGUAAUAAAAAGCAUAAUAUCUACAACAAGGUAGCUUACAAAGUUUACUAGGCCAGCAAUGUCAAAGUACAACCAGAACAAUAACAAAAAUAUACGAAGACUGUUCUUCAUUUCAAAACACAACUUUCAAAAGAGGUAAUCUCCAUGUUAAGCCCCAAAUCAAAAUCAAUCCUCCACUGACCUCAAUUUCUUCACAAUAAUUUACCAAACCUGAAUAGUAAGGGGUGAGCUAAUGCCCAGUAGAUAGUUACGCACAAAAAAUGAUCUUUUUUUUUUUUUAACACCAAAGUAAUUCACACAACUUGGGUACAUUUCUAACAUGAACCAUUUAUAUAAAUAUAAAAAAAAAAUUAUUUCUUAAAACAUUUUAAGUUUGAAAGUUGGUAUUCAACAGAAACGUCAUAAGACAAGAUCAAAACAACAUACACACAUAAAUAUAGUGUUGCUCAUACUUUCUGUAGUUGUGUAAAGAAAUCCUAAAAUUACUCUUUCAAUAAUACAAAAUAAAAAAAGUGCCUGACAGUGGCGGUGCCAGAAAUUUAACUUAGCAGGGGCUAAGUUUAAAUAAUAAUGUAAUUUAAAAAAGGUCAACAAGUAACAAGUACCAAAAAUAAAAAUUCAUUAAUAUAUUCAAUACAUUUAUAAUUGAUCUCGAUGUGUUUUCAUAUGUUAAAAACGUUAAAGAAAAAACUUAUCAUCAAGAAUACAAAAUAAAUCUUUUUCUACAUGUGUAACAAUAAUGUUACUCAAUUAUUAAUCUCUAAUCUGAUUUCACAGACGAUUUUUCACAAAAUUCAUAGUUGAAAAUGCCUUUUAUUACUGUAGUGAUGACAACUAGUAAAAUCAAUGCUAAUGUUAUCAAUAAAUAAAUUAAUGAAUACAAUUUAUCUUUUUUAGUAUCAACUAUUUUUCUUGUUAGCAUAUCAAUCUGUUUCAAUUUUGAAAAUUUGUUAUUAGAACCCACCUAUGUAAUGUAAACAUCAAAUUGAAUUUUAAGUGUCAUAAGAUUCAUUGAAAAAAAAUCAUUUUGAUAAACUCAAUAAGAUAAAAUAAUUUCUAUUUUUUUGUGCGAGGAGAGUUUGGGUGCAACGAAUCUCAAAAUGACAAUUUCUUUGUGGGUUGGAAGUUAAAGAUAAAUACUUAAUAUUUUGGUUAUUUUUAAAUUUUAACAUUCUUCGAACAAAUUAAAGGCCAACAAUGAAAAUUUCACAUAAAAACAACCAAAAUACUUGCAAAUAGCUUAAAUUAAAAGUUUUCUGUCUCGUUCAAUAGGGUUGGCAAUCAAGCCCAAGCCCAACCCGAUCACACAAACAAAGUGCCCGAGCCCUAAAAAAACCCAACUGUUUUACAUUUGGGUCGGGAUAGGGUCAAGGUUGGGCUCAGACUUUCUUGAGCCCGACCAAAUUUUUUAAUUUUUUAAUAUUUAAAUAAUUUAAAUUUAUAUCUCAUAAUACCAUAGUGGUGGUUGGCAUGGCAGCAAGCGGUGCUGAUGAUGGAAGUUGCAACAACAUCUGUCGUGGGCUCAUGACGUGAGUCGCAGCUGCGGUCAAUUUGGUGGCGGGCUAGUGGCGUAAUGGAAGUAGCAACAGCAACUGGUAGCUCGCUUCUCUUGCAUUAGGGUUUAGAAUGGGAUAUGUGUGUGUUUGUGUGGUGUGAGUCGUAUGAAUGUGAAUAUGUGAUACUGUGAAUCUAUGAUCAUGUGAUGUGAGUGUGUGUUAUAUGUUCAUGUGUGCGUGAGAAAUUUUGUUAAAAUUUGUGUGCGUGAGAAAUUUUUUUUUUUUUUAAAUUUGUUAACUAAUUGGGUUGGGUCAGGCCUUAACUUGAAUUUGAUUGAGCUUUUAUUUUUAAGCCUAGCUUGAAUUUUAACCCUUAAAUUUAAAUCAAAUCUCAAAAAUUUUGGAUCAGGUCAAUUGGGUCGAAAUUCAAGUCGGACUUUUUUGCCAUCUCUAUCAUUCAAAGAGACGCCAACAAUUUUGGAAACUUUUUGUUAGACCUCAACUUUAAAAUACAGUAAAAUCUCUAUAUAGUCAUAUUAUUGGGACUGGAGAAAUUUUUUCUUAUAAAAAGGUUAUAACUCAAUAGAGGUAUAGUAUAAAAAUUUAAUUAUUAUCUUUGCUUAAUUAUCCUUAAUGCAAGUGAUAUAGAGGUAAAUUAUGUCAUGUAUUAAUAAAUUAAUAAGUGUGUCAAAUUUAAUGUAUAGACAUUAAUAAACUACAAACAUACUUGAGAAGUUAGAAAUAUUUUAGUUUCAACUUGAUAUUUCUUGAAAACUUCAUGUGUAUAGAUUGUGGACAUUUGUUUCUCAAAGGGUAAAGGAGACUUCAACACCAGUUUCUUGUGCUAUGUAUUGAAACUUGCAUAAGCUUCCUUUUCUUGUCUGUCUUGUAAAGCCACUUUGUAUUGUUUAACAAAUUCUUCCACUGAUGUCUUCUUACUAACAUAUUUGUCAAAAAAAGAGUUGAUACUUUUGGAUCGUUGGAUUGUAGAUAAUCCAGCAACGAACGUAUCAUUCAUAUAAGUCACCCAAAACUGCAGUCUUCAUUUAAUGAUCUUAGCCACUCAUUCCCUUCAAGCUCAAACUCUUCAAUUAUACCCCACCAUUUUUUUCUCAACGUCCUCCUCUAACCAUGAGUUGUAAACAUAUUCAUUGAAUAUUUUCAUAAAAGAUUCAUCUUUCUUUAUCACAUGGCUAAGCUUUUUGGGAAUCUUCCUAAGUAUGUGCCACAUACAAAAUUGUUGUCAUGAAUUCAUAAAGGCAAUAGAAAUGGCUACUUUCAUAGCCUUGUCUUGAUCAGUUAAUAUAGCAAUUGGAUGCUUUCCACCCAUAGUCCUCAGCCAUGUUUGCAUUAGCCAAACAAAUGUUAACGUAGUCUCAUCAGCAAGCAAUGCACAUCUAAGAAAUAGAGAUUAAAAAUGGUUAUUCACACUAAUAAAAGGAGCAAAUGGCAUUUUCUUUUUGUUUGUAAUAUAUGUAGUAUCAAAGGAAACAACAUCUCUAAAAAUCUUAUAAUCCUCUCUACUAGUUGCAUCCACCCAAAAAACUUCUUCAUCUAAGUCCACAGCUUAAAAGAAAUUAAUAUUCUUUCCCUGCAUUUGCAUAAAGUGGAUAAGCAUUGCUCUAGCAUCACCUAAUUCCAAUGCUAAUCGAUGUUCUUUAUCCAAAUGGUUUCUAAUAUCUUUCUUUGUGUACCCAACAUUUUUAUAUCCACCAUUUUUUUGGCCAUUACAGCAAAAAUCUUAUUUAUACCAAUACCAACUGCAUGUAACAUAUUAAUACUAUGUUUAUUGGAAAAUGCAAUACUUCUAUGACAUGAAAAAUAAUGUGCAUGUCUAGGAUAAAGUUCAUGGUUAUGUUCUUUUAUGAAAUUUUGAACGUACCACUUGCCACGAGAGUUUAUUUUGUCAUGCAACAAAGCCGUUGAUUGAUAGCACUAGAUUCUCAUUUUAUCUCAUAUCUACCUUGUACAUGUGAAUUUUGCAUCAAUAAUUUCCCUAGAAAACUUUGAUCAACGGCUAGAUUUCUUUGAGGUACCGAACCUUGUAUACUUAACAUACUUUAGAUAGAAAAAAUAUGCAUUAUCUUGUGUAUCAAACUCCAACCCAGUAUAAGGUUCUAAAUCCAUGUCAUCGUUACCAUCCACCAUGUUUUUAUUCACCAUAUUUCUAUCAAUCACAUUCAUGCACUCAUCGAAAUUUGUAUUUAAGUCAAUCCGUAAAUUCAUGACUACCUAAAGACACAAAAAGAAAAAUGUAAACAACAACAUUGUAUAAAUAAUCGAGCAUUAUAAAUGCAAAUAAUUGAUUUUCAUAUAAACUUACUAAUUAUUCAAACAUAAUUAUAAAGAAUUAGUUCUCUAAUAAAUAAAUACCAAUUACCUUAAUAAUCUUCAUAAUAUAAAUAGAAAAUAAAUACACAAAUUUUCUUUUAUUAUUAUACAUUAACAAUGACAAAUCAUCAUGACAUCUAAUCUAUAUAAAAAAGAUAAUAGUAUUUUUAAUUUUAGGAGCCAGCUACUUUGCAUCGGUGAUUCCAAAUCCCUCAAUUUUGUUUUUACCAAACCUACCGUUGGAUAUUAUCUCUAAUGGAUGGAAAAGAUACACACACAAGUCAAAGUAACCUGACAAACAAGUUAGGAGCCAGUACCAAGGAUUAGGAAUGACCAUUUGAUCGGUGCUUUUCUUGUAUAAUCUCAGGUUGGUACAAUUAUGUAAAAAGGGGUCGAUUCCUAUUUUCCUUCAUUGUUGAUUAAGGACAGCAUUCCACUUAUUGACGCUAUUCCCAAAUACAAUCCUAAUUUCUUUCAAACUAAAAUUUAUGUAACUGGGUGUGAAGGAACUUUAAAGUGACAUGAGAUUUUUAAGUAGGCAAAUUUAAGAAUAUAGUUAAUGCUAAUUGGGAGCAACAAACCGAAUUUUUCAGUUCAACCUGAACAAAAAGCUAAUUUUUUUAUGGAGUUUGUAGGAUUGGAGAAGAAAAAGUAUUGACACCGGUAAAGUCGGUAGCAUUUAAUCUCUUUUAUCUCACCUAUUCUAUUUGAGCCGUUGGAUUACUAGACUUUCAAUCCACCGGCAGUUUUUGUAAAAGACAAAAUAAAGGGGUUACUUAUCACCACAAUAAAGUAGCCGGACCCUUAAUUUUAAAUAUAUAAUAAAAAAUUAAUGUAAUUUAGGUGAUAUUAGAAAAUGUUGUUUUAUAAAGGAAAAGUUAAGUGAAUCUACCUGAAUCAAUUUUGCAAAACAACUCAUUUAUGGCAAUUGAGACUAUAUUUCCAUAUUAAAACUUUCACUGACAAAUGCUCUGCACUCACAUGGUGCUUUUGAGAGUGAGAACUAAGGAGUAGGUGAAAAUGUAAUGUGUCGAAGAAGCUUCACAAAAAUAGAAGAGCAAUUUAGUAUUUGAAUAAAGAAGUAAAUGGCAUUUGAGUGUAAAUAUGUUUAAAGUAACGAGUAAAAUAAUAUCCAAUACCUUAUUGAAAGAAUGAGACAGAAUUAUUACAUGUGGUACUAGUAAAAUAUAAAAUUGGACACUUAUCGAAUUUGAGAGAAGCAAGCGAGUCAGUCGCUCAUGUAGCACUCUUCGGUUUUAAAUAUCUUUUAAAAGAGGUGCUAAUAGUCCAACUAUAUCCGUUUUUCAUUAAGCUAACUUUGCAUAACAAAGUGAUAAGAUAAUGAGACAUAAAUAGGCCAUCAAGAAAAGUAGAUACAAGAGGCAACAAAUGAUAUUGCCAAAAGAAUGGCGAGGUUUCCAAAAUGCAGAGAAAUACGACGGAUAGUGAGCUGGAAUUUGAUGGUUGUGCAGAUAAAGAUCAGUAACAAUGGCAGGGCAAGAACCAGAAAGAAGAGUUGAAGCUUUAGAGGAUAUAAAAGGAGUCGAUUUGUGCCAUCUUGGACCGAUCUAGUGUUCCCAUUAUCAUAUUUUAAGAACCCAAAGAACACGAUCAAUAUGAUUUAGAAAUUGUAGCAAUUAAACCCUUGAUAAUCAAUUAAAACCUUGAUGUAACUGAUUGAUUGACCUACCUUUUUAUUUAUUUUGAAUUUAUUUAAAAAUUUUGUGAAUUUUUUUGUAACUCCGAAAAACUUGUUAUUUAUUAAAGACUAUUGAUGUUUUUAACACCCCUUUAAAAUCCCAUUUUAAAUUUUGUUUUUUUUGGUCUUAACAAUAAGGUAUCCUAAGGAGGGCCCCAACUGUAGAAGGCACCUUUAAGCCUGUACCACAAUCCAAAUUAGAAGUUCCCGCUCGAACCGGGAGACACAGGUUCUCCCAACAAAGGCGACUUCCCUGCGACUCGAACUGGAGAGCAAACCCAGUCAAACCACUUAAGAAGACUCCAUUGCUAGUGGAGCCAACACUUUGUUGGUCCAUUUUAAAUUUUAUUUCUUAACAAAAUCAGUCAAAGCGUCACUUUCCUUCGAAAAGGUACACACACAGAGAGAGAGAGAGAGAGAGAGAGAGAGAAUCCAGCCUACAACAAUUUCAUUUCUCAUUAAUGCUAACUUAGCUAAGGCCAUUCCAUCCACUUUAAAGUAACUUCAUGUGAAAACAGAUUGAAUUUCAAUUUUACUAGGAGAUCGUUUGUAUGAUGCACCAUAUGUAUCAUACCGUUCUCUGGAUAUACCUGUUUCAAGAUAACUAUGCUUCAGACUUCAGAGAACAAUAAUAUACAACAAGACCAAACAUAAAAAAGCCAAUUAAAUUACUGCAAAUAAAAGUCUGCAAAUACAAUAAGACCAAUAUAUAUAUAUAUGUGUGUGUGUGUGUAAAUAAAUAAAUAAAUAUAUUUUGCACCGAAACACGGUCUUAGAAAGAGUGAUUUUGGUUUUUGAUUCAACAAGAGUGAGAGUGAUACAAACCGAUUAUUUUUAUUGAAACAUAAAAUAAAAUGAAAAGGACAAACAAUAUAGAAGAGUAAAAAUAGAUUAGUUUGAGGAAAUUUAAGCCUUCAAAAUAAGUAUAGAGCAUUAGAGAAACCAAUAAACUUCUAUAUACAACUUAAGUUGUAGUAAAAAACUAUAAAUCUAUAAUCAUCCCAUGCUUUAUCUUAAUCCAAUUAUUCCUGAAAAUAAGAGACUUCAUAGCUUCUUCAUUUCGAAUUUCCUAUAGACAAGUACAACUUUUACUUUCUUUUGGCAUUUCUCAAAUAUUAGCUCUCUAUAAACUUGAGAAGUGUUUAUAUGGGUUGAGAAAAGCUCCUUGUUGUUUCCAUAAAGGUAAAUAUAUCUUGAAUUCUUAACCUUUUGGAGGAAUUUAUAUCUUUAGGUUUACGAAGAGAAAAUGCCAACAAUCUUCAGCUAACCCACUUGAACACACCCUUCUUUCCUCUAUUGACAACUAAGAUUACUGCGGGGAUCUCAUAAUCGGGCUUUGGUUCUCGAAUGAGUUUGAUAAACCUUCGUCUCUAGAGCUGGACCCAAUUGAGGUUUUUAGAUUUAUAGAAACCCAUGGCCUACUUCAACCCAAGAACUAAUUCAAAAAUAGAAGAUUCCUCAAGUUUAUAUUGUUAGCCUAGUUACCAUUAUCCUUGAGAUAAUAUCCUCAACAAUAUUCCCAUUUUACGGCGCAGUUCGGAGAUGAUACAUGUAAUGGUAGGCAAUCUGGGGGGCUGAAUCCAAUUUGGUAAUCGCCACCUUUCGGCUGCUUUAAAAUGAAUAUUAUUGAUGCUGCAAUGGAUCAGACGGCUGGGAUAGCAGGACUUGAUAGGAGACAGCAAGAUUCUGGGCCUAGUCCUUUCUUGGGCUUCUCUCCCUUUUUAAACUUGUAGUUUCAUUUUCGUAAUGGACCUUUUGCUCUUCUUAAUUAGGCCUGGGCAUGCUGUAAGUGUUUUCUUGUCGGAGUUAAAGCGAGUGAUGACAAACUUUACGCAACGUGGCUCCUGCGUUUCUACUGUGCAAGUCAUUUUUAUUAAUCAAUUGUCUACCAUACUAUUUACUUUGAAAUAAAUUGAUAUUUCAUUCAUCAUAGAGAACUUUGAGUACCAUCGUACAUCCACUACAAACACACAUAAAAAUCGAUUAACAGAUUAUUUAUUGCAAGUAGACAAUAGAUUAAGUUAUUGUAUUUUCAAGUUAUGAGAGGAAAAACGAUUAUUUAUAAAAUGCAAUGUAUAUUCAUUCUUCCCUUAAUCCACAGGUAAUUAAAGUUUUAAUAAAUAGAUGUAUACAGGUAAUUGCCUAAGGUCUACCAAGCUUCUCAGUUAAUCUACUCAAAAGAAACUUCUCAACAGUCACGUUUUGAUAAAUUGGGAUAUUUUUAACGCCUUUAAUCUUUGAAAGCUCACUCUUAGAAUUGGUUGCCGAGUUUCCGACUAUUAAUUCAACUGUAGUCAUUACUACACGCACACAUAUUUAUGCUUAUGAUACAGUCAGAUUGAAUCUGUUAUAGGCUAAUUAAUUACAAUAUGUUUCUUUUACAAGCUAUAUGAUUGGACCUUAAUUAAUGAUCGAAGAAGAAAUUAUAAGAUUAAGUACUUCUCCUAGAGCUAAUAUUAAUGUAACAAAACAACUUCAGAUAUUUCCCAAUAAGCCACUAGAUCAGGAUCAAAUCCACCAGUCAAUAUUCCACGAGAUUUUUCCAUUUCAUGAAUUAAUAGGUCUGCCAUCACUAGAUUGAGUACGGAAAUUAAAAAAAAAAAAAGAGUAGAAAUGAAAAAUAAAGGAAAUAUCAAUCAUACCUUUUCUUCAGGAGAAAUCAGAUGGAGGGUGGCGCUGGUUUUUUUAUCUAAAGAUGACUCCAUGGAUAAUCCCUUGAAGCCCCAACGCUCUAUUUUUUUUUUGGUUGUUUAAGAAUUAUUUUCGACAAAGUACUUGAACUCGGGGAGAGAUAGGCCUGGAGACAUAUAUAGAUAAGGCAGCGUCUUACGGUCCUAAUGCUGCAACGUGGUCCAAUUCCUUCUCAACGGAGAAAACGUUCUGUCAUCGUCAA